rnacentral:tRNA from 1 species
GUCUCUUUCGUUUAGUAGGUUAGGACAUUGCUCUUUCACGGCAAUAACAGGGGUUCAAAUCCCCUAAGAGACA